rnacentral:rRNA from 1 species
GCUGGCGACCAUAGCAAGAGUGAACCACCUGAUCCCUUCCCGAACUCAGAAGUGAAACCUCUUAGCGCU